CUUUAUUCCACGUUUUUUUCCUCACGUUGGUACACGUGAUAUUGUUGAUCAUUCCCCUUAAAUAAGGAUAGUGUGAAUGGAAACCACAUCUGUGGCUGCGCACACACUUGUGCACUAUUAAAAUCUCCUGCGCUGUUGGAUAGCCUCCGUUGACAAUGGCUGCGUGACCGGAAUGGCUUUUCAGCAUUUUACAGAUGGUUGCACUGAAAAAGUGAGGAUUUAACUCGAUUGAAUCGGCUAAAACCGGUUUUAACAGGGGUGGAAAUACUUUUAUGCCCGGGGUUCUAGUCUUACGGUAGACAUUUGAAUGCUUUGAAGAAACUAUUUCUGGCGACCCAAGAGCUAGCGCUUAUUUAGCC